UACAGAGGUCUCAAGCGUUGUUCGGAUUCAUUGGGCGUAAAGGGUGCGUAGGUGGCGUCGUAAGUCGGGUGUGAAAUCUCGGAGCUUAACUCCGAAACUGCAUUCGAUACUGCCGUGCUUGAGGACUGGAGAGGAGACUGGAAUUUACGGUGUAGCGGUGAAAUGCGUAGAUAUCGUAAGGAAGACCAGUGGCGAAGGCGGGUCUCUGGACAGUUCCUGACGCUGAGGCACGAAGGUCAGGGGAGCAAACGGG
rnacentral:rRNA from 1 species